GAUGAAGAACGUAGAGAAAUGCGAUAAGUAAUGUGAAUUGCAGAAUUCAGUGAAUCAUCGAAUCUUUGAACGCACAUUGCGCCCGGCAGUACUCUGCCGGGCAUGCCUGUUCGAGCGUCAUUUCAACCCUCAAGCCCUGCUUGGUGUUGGGGUCCCACGGCCGCCGUGGGCCCUGAAAGGAAGUGGCGGGCUCGCUACAACUCCGAGCGUAGUAAUUCAUUAUCUCGCUUAGGGCGUUGGGCGGCGCUCCUGCCGUUAAAGAACCAUCUUUAACUCAAGGUUGACCUCGGAUCAGGUAGGAAUACCCGCUGAACUUAAGCAUAUCAAUAAGCGGAGGA
rnacentral:misc_RNA from 1 species